rnacentral:snRNA from 1 species
AUCGCUUCUCGGCCUUUUGGCUAAGAUCAAGUGUAGCAUCUGUUCUUGUCAGUUUAAAAUCUGAUUUAAUAAUUCAAUUAAUUCUAAAACAGCUUCU